CGACAAACCGUUGUGAAGCUGACGCAAGUAUGGAAAGUGUGUGUUUAAAAAAAUACUCCUGAAAAUGGAAGCAGAAUUGCAGCAAAUUGUUGAAAUACUGCAGAACAGAGAUGGCUUCGACUGGGAGAUGUUGUUCCUCAUCCGAGCACACAUUAUAAAAAUAUUAUUGCCGUUUCAUUGGUAAACAAAUAUGAUAUGCUGAAAUCGGAGUUUGCGGAGGUACCCCAGGCUGUGUGGUUUUACUCGCACGGAAGAGGAUACGGAAAGCAUUGUGGCAAUCUACACUACCAUAUUGAAUAUAUGGUGAAGAAGCACG